GCGGUCUGUAUAUUCCACCUCAAUAUCAGAGCAUAGGAGAUUAUGGCCUACGAAGACACGGGAAACCGAAAGAAAUGAUAGAACAAUUGGGAAAUUAUACUGAUAAGUUUAAUGCGACAGGCUUGUACAGGUAUGAUUCCAGCCCAUUCAGAUCGGCGUGUCUUUGAGCAAAAACGUUUGGAGAGAAUUUUUUAUUUUACUUUGUUCAGAUUAUAAGAAGUCUAAGCCCCAAAUUGUGAUACAUAUUGGUGAACACUUUGGCGAGUAUUGCAGUAUUUAUAAGAAUCAAAUCUUUGUCUCUAGAUACCGCUGCAAGUUACCAUGGCAGAGAAACUAGUAUCUUCAAUUCUGGAUAUGGUACAAACAUGGGUCUAUAUCCGUUAAAGCUGGAUAUUUUAAACCAUAUCCUUAUGAAGCGUCUUGGGAUGACCCGGAACCUUUUACAGUGAAUCUUUUCGCUGUACGUACAGUGAUCGCUGAAGAAAUUCCUAUGACUGUUUUUGACACCGAAGUGGUCGACUGGCUGAUUCGUUACGUAGAUGUCUUUAGAUGUCGUUGCUUCAUCCGUCGUUCAAUGGACUUAAAAUAUGUUUGUACAUACCAAUUAUAACGGUGUUAAGACAUGGUGUAAAUAAAAAUAAUAAUACUCAAUAAUAUUAAAUUUAUC